CUACAUUAACCCGACAGUUUAAAUAAGUGUUCAUGCUAUCACGCAUAACAUGCACAAUGCACAUGUACGCAUAAUACACACACAUACACAUCUGUUAUGCCGUACAAGCAUUAGCAUAAAUUUUGUUUACGAUAGUAACAAAAUUUCAGCGUGAAUCACACAUACAUACGCACAGUGAAUCACAGCGAAAUUUUACACAUUUCAACGUAUCACUUACGCAACUGCAGACAGCUGCUUAAUACAGUCACACUUGUCUUGACUUGGCACACCCACACAUACAUACACACACACACACACGAUUUCUCUGUAACGCAUAUUCAUACAAGAAGCACAAUUGCGUUACACCGUGACACUUUUUAUCUUUUUUAUGGAUAACUCAGGGAAAGUUUGGCUAAUACGUACGAGUACAUACACACACACACACACACACACACUCACACGUAUACACUACUCAGCACUCARUGGUAAACUUUGAUUUACGCGUAUUUUAUGCGUCUAUCAGUUUAAAGUUUAACCGCAACAUGAGAGACAUUGAGCACGCACGUGUAAUGUGAAUUCGUUCACGUUACACACCUACGCUGAGCAGACUUUGCGAAGUUUACUUUUGCGAAGCAUGUCAUACAAGCAUCUACAGCAUCAAGUCACAGGGUUGGCAAGUGUAUUUUUGAACCUUCAAAGCAGUCACGCAUACGGAAGAGUAGUUUCUGAUCCCAUAGAAGGAGCACCGCACAAUGAGAGACCGCUCUUAGUUCUAAGGAACGCAGCAGGCGCGUAAAUUGCCCAAUGCUAGUACCCUACAAUCAUACUUUUAUUGCAAUUUACUAUUAUACGCAUUACGACACUAUUUAUAGAUUUAUUUUUAUUCUGUCAUACACACACACACACAUCCUUGUCCACACGCGUAAAGUAGAAAUUAUAUAUAUCAUGUAUAUUUUAUUUACUGAGGCAGUGACAAGCUGUAACGGUUGAGUAUAAAAAUGACGAGUGUCUGGCAUUGCCGCUCUUUCGGGAGCUUGGCAAGUUGCCGACGCUUUGUGUGCUCAAUUGGAAUGCGGUGAGUUUAAGCAACUCAGAACCUUUUAACGGUGUUACGUAAAAAUUUCACUGUUGAUGUAUCUGAAUUUCAAGUGGAGGGCAAGU
rnacentral:rRNA from 1 species